CGCUCUUGCUUAUAUAGAGGUCUAGCCUGCCCAGUGAAAUUUUUAACGGCCGCGGUACUCUGACCGUGCGAAGGUAGCAUAAUCACUCGUUCUUUAAAUAGGGACUUGUAUCAAUGGCAUCACGAGGGUUGUACUGUCUCCUCUCUCCAAUCAGUGAACCUAAUCUUCCCGUGAAGAAGCGGGAAUAUAAAUAUAAGACGAGAAGACCCCAUGGAGCUUUAAACCUUAUGGCAAUUUAAAUUAAACAAUUCCUUAUAUAUUUUAAACAAUGCAUGCAGGUUUUGGGUUGGGGUGACCGCGGAGUAUAAAAUAACCUCCACAACAAAAAGACCUAAAUCUUUAUCUAAGAAUUACUAUUCUAAGAAUCAAAAUAUUGAUGAAAGUGAUCCGAUAAUCGAUCAAUGGACCAAGUUACCCUGGGGAUAACAGCGCAAUCUACUUUAAGAGCCCAUAUCGACAAGUAGGCUUACGACCUCGAUGUUGGAUCAGGGUAUCCCAGUGGUGCAACCGCUACUAAUGGUUCGUUUGUUCAACGAUUAAAACCCC
rnacentral:rRNA from 1 species